rnacentral:lncRNA from 1 species
ACGUCGGGGACGACGGGCGUCAUCUCCUCCGCGGGUGACACGGCGGCGGCAGCAGCAGCGGUCGCGGCCGCCGCAGCGGCCUCUCGAGCCACGGCGGUCUUCUUGGGCUGCCUCGGCUGCUUCGCCCGGCGCUGCGGCUUCGGGUUGGUGUUGCUCCCGGCGUCCUGCGGUGGCUCCUGCUCCUGCGCCUUGGGGUUCUGCGCUCUGGUCCGCUUCAUGCCGCCGCCCGGCCGGAGUCCGGUGAGCCCUCCUCUGCUUGCUCUGCUCUGCUUGGCGAAGGGGAGAGUGAGAGUGCUGGAGGAGUAUGGUGUGUGUGNNNNNNNNNNNNNNNNNNNNNNNNNNNNNNNNNNNNNNNNNNNNNNNNNNNNNNNNNNNNNNNNNNNNNNNNNNNNNNNNNNNNNNNNNNNNNNNNNNNNNNNNNNNNNNNNNNNNNNNNNNNNNNNNNNNNNNNNNNNNAGGGGGGGUGAUACGAUGGUGCUUGGGCUUUGCGGCCCUUUUGUACUCGCCGGGCGGGGUCGGGUUCCGGUUCCGGUCCGGGUCGGGGUCGCCCUUUUGACGGUGCGGCCAGCCACUUGAUGGACACCGGUUCGGUUCGGUUCAGCGGUGGGCUGGCAUGGCUUGCCUGGUCGCAGCUUGCACGCCGCCGCCCGCCGUCGUACGACGCACCGGGUCCGUCGGCCCGUGACGGCGACUCGUGUGGAUAUGCGUGCCGGCAGAACGUCUGGACCUGGCCGGCCGCGUCGCUGUUCUUCUUCCCGGUCGACAAGGCGACGCAGUGAUGGCAACGGUAAAUCGCGAUCGGUGCGUUUCGUGACAAAUUUCACCCUUUUGCUUGUGUCCAUGUUACCAAUUAUUAUCAUUGCACGUACGUACGUACAGAUGGGUGACGGAGAUAUCGCGCCCGUGUUGCACGACAUGUGCCGCUGGCGUGCGUCGCGGCUCACGUGGAGACGCCGGAGGCUUGGGAAGGGCGGCGUGCAUGUGCAGACCGCAUGCCGACGCCCUGAAUGAAGCACCAAAGCCAAAGACAACUACAGUACCAGUACGUAAGUAGUAGAAGCUGCAAGGAGGGUUGCACAAAUUCUACUGCGCCAGUUUUUUCUAUCGUAUCAUCAUCACUAGUACGUAUAAUAAUCUAUCUAACCUAACAAUUAAAUAUCUAGCUCGCUAAUAUUCGUUCGUACUACUACGUGUACUGAGCCCGUAGUGUGGUUGUAGCGGUACCAGUCGUAUCUUGGCAUUAAAGCGAUGGAUGAAAGGCUAGUAGGAGUAGGAAGGAGUACGAGUAGACUAGUUUUAAUUUGAAGGGGCCGACAUGGCGCUGGCCGUAUGUCGGCAAAUCCGAGAAUACAGCAAGUUGAGUGCAACAAGUGGGGUGGCGCCUGCUGUAUUUUUUAUGGCUCCAUCCAUGGCCGAUCAUGGAGGACGACGCCACUCUGUCCCAAGAAGAUCCGGGACGACAGCCGAGGCCUCCUCCUUCUGCUCUGGCAUGGCGCCCAACUUGGGCGGUCCCGGACGCGACUAGCCUGGUCGGCUCCGAUGUGGUGGGCAUGCGUCUGCGUCGCGUGCGCUCGGCCGUUGGCUCCAUCGCUCGGUCCGGAGCUGUCCGCCACCGCGGGCUGGCGAGCGAGCGAUGCACGCAAGGAUCAACGGCACAUCGUCACCUCGUUCCCGACCCAACGCGUGCCCAACCUUUUCUGCAACCGUCUCCGGUCGGAAUAAAAGAUAUCUAUAACCGCCGGCGAUGAGCGCUGCCUGGCGAGCGGUGCAUGGAAGAAUCAACGAGAUAUCAUCGUCACGUCAUCGGCGUGAACUCGAGACAUCUUUGCUUCCUAGCCCAACGCGUGUCCAACCUUACUGCUUUUGCAACCUUGAUUGUGUAGCCAACUAUCUCUCACCCGAAUAUCUAUCACCGGCGGCGAUGAGGGCUGCCUUGCCCAGCGGUGGCGAGAUAUUUGGUGCAUUUGUGUUCGCCGUGUGACGUUCGAUUAUGUUAAUUUUUUUGUAACUGCAUGCCUAUCAUAGUUUUAGAAAAAGGUCACACGGGGUUUGUGUUUGAGCAUCUAAGAUCAUCUCCAACAGGCGCGCUUCGCGCCGCGUCUAAAAAACGAGUUUGCUGCACGCUGGUCGCCUGGUUUUGUGCGUCGCGCAGCGCUGGCUCCAGCAAUAGCUAGAAAAUGCAGCGCGCGCUCCGUUCCAGCAACGCGCACGCCGCUGCAGCAGCGCCCAAAAUGCAACGUGAAACAUCUAUCAAAAUGCAAUAAUACAUGCGAAAUUUAACACAAACAAGUAGAUGAAUAAAAGUCAUCCCCACAAGUUCAUCCAACAAAGUUCAAAAUGCAAACCAAGUUCAAAAUACAAGUUCAUCCAACAAAGUUGAAGACAUAUAACACAUCAAUCAUCUUCCUCGUCGUCUUCCUCUUCUUCUGAAGACGAUUCUUCCGCCUUCGAAGAUGAAUCUUCCUCCCUAACAUCAUCACGCACCGCAUCACGUGUAGCUCCGACGGUCUUGGCAAGAUCUUCAACGGCAUUUUCAUGGCUAUGUGUGUGAGGCACAUCGAAAGACAUUCCACCCAUGGCCGGAGGUGCACCCAUGCCGCCCAUGAGAGAAGCAAAACUCAUGCCACCCAUGCCUCCCAUAGCGUUGGAGGGUGCUCCAAAGCCACCCAUGGCGCCGAAGCCACCGCCACCCAUGCCGCCAAGGACACCGCCACCGCCACCCAUGCCGCCAAGGACACCGCCACCCAUAGCUCCCAUGGCGUCGAGCCCACCGCCACCCAUGCCGCCAAGGCCACCGUCACCCAUUGUGCGGAUCAUGGCUCUUUUUUGAAUCAACACUUCUUCGCGGGCAAGGUUGACAUAUUCCUUUUGCGCAUCAUUGAACAAAGAUGUGUCCAAAAAGAACAAGUGCUUUUCCCAUUCCAACAACUUAGCUCGCUCCUCCAUGCCCACCUUCCUCUCCUCCAAUGCCACUUUCCUCUCCUCGGCGGCCACCCUCCUCUCCUCGGCCACCAACCUCCUCUCCUCGGCCGCGGCAUCUUGGUUCCUUGCCAUUUUCCUCACCUCGUUGGCUUCUUUUCUUGCCUUCACAAUAGCUUCCAUAGCAUUUGUGAGCUCAUCAUCUCCUUUCCUCUUCUUCUUUUCGGUUUUGUCCUUCUUGCACCCAUCCGGUCAUUUUGGUUUCGAGUAUGAAACCGAGUUGGGUGUGG